CAAUUUUUAAAAAUGCACAAGUUAUAAAUACAGAAGAAAGAGCAACCCACCAAACCCUAACAAGGACCCCAGAACACUUUCAUACUAAGACUGUAAGUAGAUCUCAGUUCCGCGUUUAUUGUAAGUUGAUAAAAACAUCUGGAAGAAAAUGACUAAAACUGUUUGCAUCUUUGUAUGUAUUUAUUACUUGAUGUAAUAAAGCUUAUUUUCAUUAACAAUUUGUAUUAAAAUGUGGGUUCCUUGAAUUCUUACGUGCUGUUUUAUUUUUUUGAGACAGGGUCUUGUUUUGCCACCCAGGCUGGAGUGCAGUAAUGUAAUCUUGGCUCACCGCAGCCUCAACCUCCUGGGCUCAAGCAAUCCUCUCACCUCAGCCUCCCUAGUGGCUGGAACUACAGAAAGGGUACACUCGCCAGCAGUUUUGCCACGAGAGUACACCAAACAAAGAGACAGGGUCAUUUGUAACCUGACGCAUCCACCCUACUGCUGUGUCUGGUUUCCAUUGGCUGGAACGGGACCUCACAUUCUGUAUUUGUCCUGAAUGGCGAGCAACUUAAAACUUUUUAAAAGAAGCAAAGGCAGAGGAGAACAAAGGAAGGAGAAAGUAACUUGUGGAAUGGUGAGAAAGGCAUGAGGUGAAUUCUCAGCCGUGACAAGGCUAAAGGCCAGCAGGAACAGGCUCUAGCGAAAUGGGUGCUGUGUCCCCUUCCUGUAUGUGGCAGAAAGUUGCAAAGGUAUGAGAGAGGAGACAAACGGAAACCAUUCUCCCUCAUCUCCAGCUCCAAAUUUCCCUUCCCACU
rnacentral:antisense_RNA from 1 species